AAAGCAAAGAUCUUGACAUCUCAACCAUCCUGAUUUCUUGCUAGUACCUCCUUCAUACCUUUUCCACUUUCUUCUUUCUCUUAUAAACUAUGAAUAAUAUUCAAUCAAAAUAACCAUAUCGAGCUAGACUCUCUCAUAAUAUUGAUUGCCAGUACAAUCUCUCUUGUGUUUCCUCCCUGAGAUGAAAGACAAGAUCAUCUUGAAUGUCUACGAGCUCCAAGGACAUUAAGUGGCAAAUACCUGAUGGAUCUUAAUCAGCCAUGUUUCCAAUACGUGUGGAGUUAUCGAGGUAUCAAAGAGAGCAAGGCACAGCGUGGGAAUUUCUAGGCAUGAGCAGCAUGCAGAGCUUCUACUCUAUUGACAAACUCACUGCUCGCUCAUUUAAUGCUCAUCUUGGCUUGCCCUAUGAGAUGAGUCAUUUCUGUUAGUCACAGUGAACCUACAUUUCCAGCAGGGUUCCCCCUUUAGAACAUGCUGAACCUAAAACACAGCAUAGUUCUUGAACAACAAGACCAGGAGGACUCGCAGACCUUGGCAUUGUCCCAGAAAGAUACAUACAAUCAAACGAAAAACAAUUUUUUUUUUUAAACAAAUAUUAUUUCAAAAAAUACUUUAAAAAUUAAUCUCUGUCAUUUUUCCAAACACCCUCUAAAUUCGUUGUGGUCCCUCAAGUGUUGUAAGUGAGUAAAUUAAUCUCCUAUACUUUAUCUAUGAGCAUAUCAAACCUAAUACUUUCAAUUUA